rnacentral:tRNA from 1 species
GCGGAAGUAGUUCAGUGGUAGAAUACAACCUUGCAAAGGUUGGGGUCGCGGGUUCGAAUCCCGUCUUCCGCU